rnacentral:rRNA from 1 species
AAAUGAAUAGACGGGGGCCCGCACAAGCGGUGGAGCAUGUGGCUUAAUUCGAUGAUACGCGAGGAACCUUACCCGGGCUUAAACUGCGGAGUAAACCCCUGGAAACAGGGACUGACUUCGGUCAAUUUCGUAGAGGUGCUGCAUGGCUGUCGUCAGCUCGUGUCGUGAGAUGUUGGGUUAAGUCCCGCAACGAGCGCAACCCUUGUCGCUAGUUGCCAGCGAGUAAUGUCGGGGACUCUAGCGAAACCGCCGGCACAAGCCGGAGGAAGGUGGGGAUGACGUCAAGUCCUCAUGGCCCUUACGUCCGGGGCUGCACACGUGCUACAAUGGCUGGUACAACGGGUCGCAAAGUCGCGAGGCUAAGCUAAUCCCUUAAAGCCAGUCCCAGUUCGGAUUGGAGUCUGCAAUUCGACUCCAUGAAGCCGGAAUCGCUAGUAAUCGCGCAUCAGAAUGGCGCGGUGAAUACGUUCUCGGGCCUUGUACACACCGCCCGU